AUGUGGUCCUGCCGGUCUCAGUCUCGGCAAUGUAGUUGUACAAGGGCAUCGUCGGACUUGUCGAAUCAAAACUCGCUGAGGGUCGUGGGUAGUGGUACACACAUCAUCAGGGUACUUGUCGGAUCCAAAAGGUACUUGCCGAAAGAUCUCGGAGGCGAUGACGGUCCACGUACGAGUCUUGGCGGCUUGAGCAGGGACCACCCGAACUCGGCAGGAGGCAGCAGGUCUCGACGGAGUGAUGGACGGCCGAACAGGUCCAGGCGGUGGAGUCGAGCAAGACGACGACGCGGCGCUCACCGGUAA
rnacentral:rRNA from 1 species